GUUUUUUCACGUAUGUUUUCUUCCCGCGAGUCACGUGACGCCAGUUGCGCGAGUCAUCGCGAGACAAUCACGUGCUUUUUGUCGCCAUACGUGAACUGUGACAAAAACAUCGAUGGGGAGUUUAAUCGGGUGUUGAGGAUCGGCGGAGUACAGUGAUUUACCGUGGUACCGUGACGUUGAGCAGGGAAAUGUCCAGCACAGCCAUGAAGAAGAAGGUGCUGUUGAUGGGGAAAAGUGGAUCAGGAAAGACCAGUAUGAGAUCCAUCAUAUUUGCCAAUUACAUCGCCAGGGACACCCGCCGCCUCGGGGCCACAAUCGACGUGGAGCACUCUCACGUACGGUUUCUGGGGAACCUGGUGCUGAAUCUGUGGGACUGCGGCGGGCAGGACACGUUCAUGGAGAACUACUUCACGAGUCAGAGAGACAACAUCUUUCGCAAUGUGGAGGUGCUGAUCUACGUGUUUGAUGUGGAGAGCCGAGAGCUGGAGAAGGACAUGCAUUACUACCAGUCCUGUCUCGAGGCCAUUCUCCAGAACUCUCCUGACGCCAAGAUCUUCUGCCUGGUGCACAAGAUGGACCUGGUGCAGGAGGACCAGAGAGACCUGAUAUUUAAAGAGCGUGAGGAGGAUCUGAAAAGGCUUUCUCGGCCACUGGCCUGCACCUGCUUCAGAACCUCCAUCUGGGACGAGACGCUGUAUAAAGCCUGGUCCAGCAUCGUCUAUCAGCUCAUUCCUAACGUACAGCAGCUGGAGUGCAACCUGCGCAACUUUGCUCAGAUCAUUGAGGCAGACGAAGUCUUACUGUUCGAAAGAGCUACUUUUCUGGUGAUCUCUCACUAUCAGUGUAAGGAGCAGCGUGACGCUCACCGCUUCGAGAAGAUCAGUAACAUCAUCAAGCAGUUCAAGCUGAGCUGCAGUAAGCUGGCUGCCUCUUUCCAGAGCAUGGAAGUGCGUAACUCGAACUUCGCUGCCUUCAUCGACGUCUUCACCUCCAACACCUACGUCAUGGUGAUCAUGUCUGACCCGUCCAUACCGUCCGCCGCCACCCUCAUCAACAUCAGGAACGCCAGGAGACAUUUUGAGAAGCUGGAGCGCGUGGACGGGCCCAAGCACAGUCUGCACAUGCGCAUGCGUUAGAGCCGCCGGACACAGCGUGAGUCCACACCCGACCUCACCUCCUGGGAAAAAGCAUCUUAAAACUUCACAGUCUUACUGAGUCACUUACAAUCAUCUGAGAGCACUACAUGAAACAAGUUAGAGACAGUGUGAAAGGAUUUAGUUUGUGGGUGUUCCUGUCUCACGGAUCUCUCGUUCACAGGACGGCGGCUGAUCCAGAAGGUUUCCUCCUGUCCUGCUGACUUCGCUUGCAUCCAGUGUUUCUGCUGAGAAACCAAGUCACCUUCUGUUAACAUGUCUGAUGUUGCAAAGGAACCGUAGUUCUUACUCAUAAACCCCGGCUCGAGGGUUGAAGAUGGCCGCUUCCUAUCUGAUCUGGCGUACGCUGAGUCAUUCUUUCUCUGUGUGUCUUUUAUUCGAAGCGUUAUCAGCUUGCUUUACUGAAAUCAGAGCAGAAAUCUGUCACUAAAACUGGUCUUUCUGAGUUAACAACUUGAUCUGCAAAUUAUUGUAUUAUAAUUAUUCCCAAUAAAUGCAUAUUGUUCUUUGA